rnacentral:tRNA from 2 species
UAGAGUCUGGUGUAGUACUGGUAGCACGAAGAAUUUUGAAUUCUUAGGGGCAGGUUCAAUUCCUGCAACUCUAG